AAGAAGUGUAUAAGAGACAGGUGAAUCAUCGAAUCUUUGAACGCACAUUGCGCCUGGUGGUAUUCCGCCAGGCAUGCCUGUUCGAGCGUCAUUUAAACCAAUCUAGCCUUGUGGUUAGGUCUUGGGCCUUCGCCUCUGGGCGGGCCUUAAAAUCAGUGGCGGUGCCCUUUGGCUCUAAGCGUAGUAAUACUCCUCGCUAUAGACGUCAGGCGGUAUCUUGCCAGCAACCCUAAUUUACAAAGGUUGACCUCGGAUCAGGUAGGGAUACCCGCUGAACUUAAGCAUAUCAAUAAGCGGAGG
rnacentral:misc_RNA from 1 species